rnacentral:rRNA from 1 species
CCUACGGGAGGCAGCAGUGAGGAAUCUUGGUCAAUGGACGAGAGCCUGACCCAGCAACGUAGCGUGAAUGAUGACUGCCCUAUGGGCUGUAAACUUCGUUUAUAUGGGAAUAAAACAGUGUAUGUAUCCAUUCUUGUCUGUACCAUACGAAUAAGGAUCGGCGAACCCCGUGCCGGCAGCCGCGGUAAGACGGUGGGGCCGAGCGUUAACCGGAUUUGUUGUGUUUAAAGGGAGAGUAGGUGGGUUGUUAAGUCAGUUGUGAAAGUUUGCGGCUCAACCGUAAAUUUGCAGUUGAAACUGGCAGUCUUGAGUACAGAAGAGGUGGGCGGAAUUCGUGGUGUAGCGGUGAAAUGCUUAGAGAUCUCGAAGAACUCCGAUUGCGAAGGCAGCUCACUGGACUGCAACUGACACUGAUGCUCGAAAGUGUGGGUAUCAAACAGGAUUAGAUACCCCAGUAGUC